rnacentral:rRNA from 1 species
GUGCUCUGGAUUCAGCGGCGGACGGGUGAGUAAUGCCUAGGAAUCUGCCUGGUAGUGGGGGAUAACGUUCCGAAAGGAACGCUAAUACCGCGUACGUCCUACGGGAGAAAGCAGGGGACCUUCGGGCCUUGCGCUAUCAGAUGAGCCUAGGUCGGAUUAGCUAGUUGGUGAGGUAAUGGCUCACCAAGGCGACGAUCCGUAACUGGUCUGAGAGGAUGAUCAGUCACACUGGAACUGAGACACGGUCCAGACUCCUACGGGAGGCAGCAGUGGGGAAUAUUGGACAAUGGGCGAAAGCCUGAUCCAGCCAUGCCGCGUGUGUGAAGAAGGUCUUCGGAUUGUAAAGCACUUUAAGUUGGGAGGAAGGGCUGUAGGCUAAUAUCCUGCGGUUUUGACGUUACCAACAGAAUAAGCACCGGCUAACUUCGUGCCAGCAGCCGCGGUAAU